rnacentral:rRNA from 1 species
AGUGAACGUUGGCGGCGUGGAUUAGGCAUGCAAGUCGAGCGAUCGUAGCAAUACGGGAGCGGCAAACGGGGGUAGGAAUACAUCGGAACGUACCUUUUGGUUGAGAAUAGCGUUGGGAAACUGACGGUAAUACUCAAUAAAGUCGAGAGACCAAAGGUUUACUGCCGGAAGAGCGGCCGAUGCGAUAUUAGGUAGUUGGUGGGGUAAUGGCCUACCAAGCCUGAGAUGUCUAGGGGGUGUGAGAGCAUGGCCCCCACCACUGGGACUGAGAUACUGCCCAGACACCUACGGGUGGCUGCAGUCGAGGAUCUUCGUCAAUGGGCGAAAGCCUGAACGAGCGACGCCGCGUGCGGGAUGAAGGCCCUUGGGUUGUAAACCGCUGUCAGGGGGGAUGAAACCGUAAGGUUGACAGAGCCCCAGAGGAAGCACGGGCUAGGUUCGUGCCAGCAGCCGCGGUAAU